UCGCUACUACCGAUUGAAUGGCUUAGUGAGCCCUCUGGAUCGUUGCUUUUUUGAGGGUGACCUCUGGGAGCAUGCGAAAAGGAGGUCAAACUUGAUCAUUUAGAGGAAGUAA
rnacentral:rRNA from 1 species